rnacentral:tRNA from 1 species
GGGCCCGUGGGUUAGUUUGGCCUAUACUUGAUGGUUUGGGACCAUUAGACCCCAGUUCAAAUCUGGGCGGGCCCACCA